rnacentral:tRNA from 1 species
GCCGGAGUGGUGGAACUGGUAGACACGCAAGACUUAAAAUCUUGUGCUCUUCUGAGCGUGCGGGUUCAAGUCCCGCCUCUGGUACAA